AUGAGGAAGUCUACACAUACUAGUGGGACAAAAAGUUUCCCUCGUAAGAGGGAAGAAAUGAAAGAUGCAGAUCCUGAAAAGAAGUACCCUCAUAGGGCUCACUUGUUCAUGCACACGCACAAGCCAAAAACUUGCAAGAACAAAAUCAUUAAUGCUCAUGUGGAAGAGUUGAAAGAUAUUAUGGACAAGAACCCUGAAUUAGCAGAUAACAGCGGUGGAAAGACUGCAUGGAAAGGAGAUGCGUUGAACAAAUUAUUAGGGGAUGACAAGCCUGGCCAUGUACAUGGUUUGGGACUAGUUCCAAACCCAAAAAAACUUUUUGAUGUUUCCACUUCACGUGUAUUCCAGAAUACACAUUUUACUUCGGUGGAGGAUACACCAAAUGAAGAUAUGCUAGCUUUUAGAGUUGAAAUGGAAAAACUAUAUCAAGUAAAUAAAAAUCAGGAUGCUAAAGUUAUGGAACUAGACGAGAAGCUGAGAAGAAUGGAAAGACAACCAAAUCAGGAAAUUUCAGAUCCCAUGGCUACAAUUGGGCUUGAACCUUCGGUUGAUGGACACAACUCAAACAGAAAAAGAGUGCUUGCUCCUCCGGUUGAUGGACUCCAACUUGUUAAAAAACGAUCAAAUAAUUUACAGAACAAGCCAAGUGGAUCAAACAAUGCAAAUUUGCAACCAUCAAACAAGAAUUCUGUUUCAGAUAAGAACAAAGAAACUAUGGUUCAUAAUGGUGGCAGUGCACGACAACUAGAAAAAUGCUCUACUACACACAAGAAUGUUGUCCAGAACCAAGAAACUCCUCAUAAUUUCAGUGCUCAGCAAGGGGAAAUAAAUUCUGCUACACAUAAGAAUGUUGUUCAGAACAAAGAAACUUCUCUUGAGAAUGUUAGUGCAUGUCAGGGAGAUAAAAAUUCUGCUGCAAACAAACGGACCAAAAAAACAACAAAAGGUGCCAAUGCAAGCAGUAAGAGUGCUCAAAGUGGUUCGCUGAGCUGGUUGGGUGCCAGUGAAUUACCUGCAGGAACUAAAGUAUUCUUGAAGAGCCUGAAAAACCAUAACAAGGAUGUAGCUCUUGCUACAAUUGUAAGUUGUGAUCCAAACUUUAAACUUGAUGGUGAUGAAAUUAGGAAUGAAUUCUGGGCGGUGCAUGUUGAUAUGGCACUUGUGAAAACUGAAAAUUUGGUACGGAGUCGCAAAAACUGCACUACUCUCGGCAAUGCAGAAAAAACAAAGAUUGCAUGGCCCUCAACCUUUAUUCAAAAGAUAAAUGGAUGA
rnacentral:rRNA from 1 species